rnacentral:rRNA from 1 species
AAUUUGAAAUCUGGCCUUCGGGUCCGAGUUGUAAUUUGUAGAGGAUGCUUUUGGUGCAGUGCCUUCCGAGUUCCUUGGAACAGGACGCCUUAGAGGGUGAGAGCCCCGUACGGUUGGACACUAAGCCUCUGUAAAGCUCCUUCGACGAGUCGAGUAGUUUGGGAAUGCUGCUCUAAAUGGGAGGUAAAUUUCUUCUAAAGCUAAAUACCGGCCAGAGACCGAUAGCGCACAAGUAGAGUGAUCGAAAGAUGAAAAGUACUUUGAAAAGAGGGUUAAAUAGCACGUGAAAUUGUUGAAAGGGAAGCGUUUAUGACCAGACCUUUGCCUGGCGGAUCAUCCGGGGUUCUUCCCCGGUGCACUUCGCCUGGCUUAGGCCAGCAUCGAUUUCUGUAGGGGGAUAAAGGCCAUGGGAACGUAGCUCGCUUCGGGGAGUGUUAUAGCCCUAGGUGUAAUACCCUUACGGGGAUCGAGGUUCGCGCUUCUGCAAGGAUGCUGGCGUAAUGGUCAUCAACGACCCGUCUUGAAACACGGACCAAGGAGUCGAACAUUUAUGCGAGUGUUUGGGUGUUAAACCCUCACGCGGAAUGAAAGUGAACGGAGGUGAGAGCCCUUACGGGUGCAUCAUCGACCGAUCCUGAUGUAUUCGGACGGAUUUGAGUAAGAGCAUAACUGUUCGGACCCGAAAGAUGGUGAACUAUGCGUGGAUAGGGUGAAGCCAGAGGAAACUCUGGUGGAGGCUCGAAGCCAGAGGAAACUCU